rnacentral:rRNA from 1 species
UACGGGGGGGGCAAGCGUUGUUCGGAAUUACUGGGCGUAAAGGGUUCGUAGGUGGCCAACUAAGUCAGACGUGAAAUCCCUCAGCUUAACUGGGGAACUGCGUCUGAGACUGGAUGGCUUGAGUGCAGGAGAGGAACGCGGAAUUCCAGGUGUAGCGGUGAAAUGCGUAGAUAUCUGGAGGAACACCGGUGGCGAAGGCGGCGUCCUGGACCAAUACUGACACUGAGUGAGCGAAAGCCAGGGGAGCAAACGGG